CUUAUUCCCGUAAGCCACCCCAAUGAAACUCAUUGCCAGUGAAAGCAUACGAAUACAUGAGACAGUACAAAAUCCCCAACUAUCUGCAAAAUUGAACUGCAAUAUCACUUCAUACCCAGUAAGUCGGAAAAUCAAAUUACAAAUGAAAUCUUGAGAUACAAGUGGACAGGCCUCGCUGUCCCGGACUACUCUAAUGGCCCUGUCAUUUCCAGCUUUCCCAGGCUGCCAAGCCCCACUCAACAGAAAAAAAGAAUAAAGGCCCAAGAUCAGGCGACAGAAUCCCACCAAUCAUUGAGCUUGCUCCUAGAAAUGGAGAGCCAGUGUGGAUGAAACCUGUUUCCAGUUACGAACUGCAAAAUGAAAUGAAGGGGCACACACUGAUACUCCGUGAGCAUGUGACCAGAGAAAGGCCAUAGCAUAGUGGCUAGAGUUAACCAUUUGUAACACAAGGGGACAAUGUGGAACAUCAAGGAGAAAAAGUAAAGACUGGGAAGGUCACUAACCAGGAACAGGCAGACAAACCAAAUUGGUACCCUGCCUGUCAAACCAUCUAUGUGGUGUUAAGGGAUUUAUUUAGUAAGUAUGUAUAGAGUUGCAGAUGUAACUCU
rnacentral:lncRNA from 1 species